ensembl:snRNA
GUGCUGUAUGAAAGGAGAGAAGGUUAGCACUCCUCUUGACAAGGAUAGAAGAAACUCUUGGCCCUGACAACACGUUUACAGUUCAGACAUGGCCAUCAUGGUGGUAUCUAACCAUCAUGCUUU